rnacentral:misc_RNA from 1 species
CUGAGAUGGAGAGCGUCCAGAAGACAUCGAAGAGCAACGGGCGGCCGGAGCAUGGCCGCCGGAGUGACCGGAAGUCAGCGACGGGAAUGAGCGGCGAGCCGAAGAAGGGCGGACACGGGGGCAAGUUCACUUGGUCCGGCGAUCAGCAGUACGACGACGGUAAGAUGGAGAAAGGAGCAAUCGACGCCAAGGAUCCCAACUUCGAGGAUCCAGAAGAGGUAAACUCCGACCGAUGAGUUAAAUGGUGGAUCUCAAUGGAAGAAAUGUUAAGAUCUGUCUUUGUGUACUUGAAAAAUAAUUUGUGUGGGAGAUCUCCGAGCAGUAUGGAUCUUAUGGCUACUGAUGUAAAUAUGCUAUUCCUAUCUCGUUUAAUGGCAAGUUUCAG